AAAUAAAAAGACAUCGGGCAGGAUGGUUCUUAGAAAGGCUGAGAUUGUCGCCCAGCAUUGUCACUUGAGUGCAUGGAUCAGCGGCAUGGAGACAGGAGACCAGAGCCUCACCAGAAGUCAUCCUUUUCACCUUGCAUAAAUCGGGAUCCUCUGAGAUGGGGCUUUUUGGAAACCACUGGAAAGUGAAAGUGCUCAUUCUGCUGGGGUGGCUGAUCUAGAGGGAAGCAAGCUUGGCCCUCAUUUUACCACAUGUGGAGACCAUUCCUGAGAAGGAAGCCAACCCAGAGGCAAGCUAAACAAGAGACGAAAAAAGGGUGACAAAAAUAUACCAGUGAACAUUAGAUAAUUCCCAAUCCUGAUACCCCAGUACCUGGCGCCAUGUCUGACAUAAAAUGCUCUGUCCUUCCCCUUGCUCUCAGAUGAAACAGAAAGACCGAGAAGGUUGUGGUAUGCCUAGGAAUGAG